CUCCUCUGUUGAAUUAAUAUUCAAAUAAUAUCUGUUGAAUAUAUAUAAUAUCGAUUGUUGCAACUGCUUUUGAAAUGGUCAAAGCAACUAGUUUUAGAAUCCUUUAAGGGCUACAAAUCACCGCGGAAACUUGUCCUGCAAUUGGCGUUGUUUAUUGAGAAGGCACUACUAUUGACGUAUUCACAUGCGUAGGGUCACCUUAUCCUGAGGAGCUCCAAGGGAUCAGCAGUGACGUGCAAACUAAACGUAGGUGUGUAUUGUUUCACCUGUCAGGCUAGCUUUUCGCGAACCAAAGUUGAACGCCACUACGACGAUAAUUCGGACUCGCGAUUGACUCCGGAUUGAGUGAGAAAUUUAGCACCAGUGGUUGACGGCCGUUGAAAACAAUUGUAGCAGUCGACGCCUUCGGACUGUCCAAGGAAUCUACGGGAGUCAAGGGAGGUUGCCCUGGAGACUCCUAAUCCGAAAAACGUGGCCCUACCUGCGCUCAGCUUAUUCUGCGACGACGACUAAGUUCCCAAAAUAUUGAUGAAUUUUAACGGCGAGACAAACUGGUUCCACGAAAUAUUUACUUUCCGGCCUUCCAGGGAAAAUUGUGAUAAAAUAAAUACCUUUACAUGAAACUAA